rnacentral:rRNA from 1 species
CAGUAGCCACGGUAAUACAGAGGGUGCGAGCGUUAAUCGGAUUUACUGGGCGUAAAGCGUGCGUAGGCGGCUUCUUAAGUCGGAUGUGAAAUCCCUGAGCUUAAAUUAGGAAUUGCAUUCGAUACUGGGAAGCUAGAGUAUGGGAGAGGAUGGUAGAAUUCCAGGUGUAGCGGUGAAAUGCGUAGAGAUCUGGAGGAAUACCGAUGGCGAAGGCAGCCAUCUGGCCUAAUACUGACGCUGAGGUACGAAAGCAUGGGGAGCAAACAGGAUUAGAUACCCGCGUAGUCCCUGUCUCUUAUAC